AUAUUGGACAAUGGGCGAAAGCCUGAUCCAGCCAUGCCGCGUGUGUGAAGAAUGUCUUCGGAUUGUAAAGCACUCUAAGUUGGGAGGAAGGGCAUUAACCUAAUACGUUAGUGUUUUGACGUUACCGACAGAAUAAGCACCGGCUAACUCUGUGCCAGCAGCCGCGGUAAUACAGAGGGUGCAAGCGUUAAUCGGAAUUACUGGGCGUAAAGCGCGCGUAGGUGGUUUGUUAAGCUGAAUGUGAAAUCCCCGGGCUCAACCUGGGAACUGCAUCCAAAACUGGCAAGCUAGAGUAUGGUAGAGGGUAGUGGAAUUUCCUGUGUAGCGGUGAAAUGCGUAGAUAUAGGAAGGAACACCAGUGGCGAAGGCGACUACCUGGACUGAUACUGACACUGAGGUGCGAAAGCGUGGGGAGCAAAC
rnacentral:rRNA from 1 species